rnacentral:rRNA from 1 species
GAUGAACGCUGGCGGCGUGCAUAACACAUUCAAGUCGAACGAGAAUCAGUGAAGAGCUUGCUCGGAUCUGAGGAAAGUGGCGGACGGGUGAGUAACGCGUGAGCAAUCUGCCUUAGUGAGCGGGAUAACGGUCUAGGAAGCGGACGCUAAUACCGCAUAACGUAUCGGAAUCGCAUGUUUCUGAUACCAAAGCUCCGGCGCACUAAGAUGAGCUCGCGUCCGAUUAGAUAGUUGGUGGGGUAACGGCCUACCAAGUCUGCGAUCGGUAGCCGGACUGAGAGGUUGAACGGCCACAUUGGGACUGAGAUACGGUCCAG